UUCACCUGGGCUGUUGCGCCAGAUUUCGAAAAAGUACAUAUAAUGAGGAGACUGUCGCGAACUUUUUAAAUUAAAGUUGUUAAAGAGCACUGAUAUUGCAUACAGAAGCAUGAGUGGGUGCUCAACUAGUAGGUGAUUGCAACAAUUUUCCAAUUAUUCACGUGCACCGGAAACGUCAAAUAGAAAAAAUGGAAAGUGCUGAAUUGCAAGAAGGGCUUGACUGACUCUGGUUUUUCUAUAGCCUACUUAAAAACUGUUCUCGAUUGCUGGAAGGAAAUCGUGACUGCAGCUAUAUGGUGGAUGAUCGUCGCAAAGCAGAUUGUUGUAGGCUCAUGGAUUAUAGCGCAGGGGACCGCCUCAUGAUGUGUACUUGUCAGAGGGAAUUCUCCAUAGUCAUCCCCCAUAGCCGGUGAAAUUCCAUUCUUCAAUAUAGGAUUUCGUGAAAGGACAUCAGCAACAUAAUUUAUUCGUCCCGGUCGCUAAACAAUUUUAUAAAGGUACUCGCUCAAUUUGAUUCUCCAGUGGGCCAACCUAGAAACAGGAUCCUUUAAAUUGUCUAACAAUACGAAAGGCAUCGUUCAAAGUCCUAGAGGUAAAAGCAAUUGGUAAGUCUUGACUCAAAUUUCCUUGACUCAAGACUGCCCCCGAUACAAAAUCAGAAGCAUCGCUACUAAGAAUAAAAGCCUAGUGAAGGCAGUCUGUUCCAA